CAUACUGUUGGUCUAAAGUAAAUGAUUUUAGCAUUUCUCCUUGAUUCUUUCUGUAAACCUUUAUUAAAUCCCUAUAUGCCAGGUGAGUAAGUUUCAGGCUGUAACUCUAGAAAGGUGUUGGUUAAUGGGAGAGUCAAGACCCCCAAGCAGGCAACUAGUCAGGGCGGUCAGGGCAGUGGGCGCGCUGAGGAGGGCCGUGUCAGGGCCCACUUCCCAAGCCUGGGGAGCCUGUUGCAAAACCUUCAAGGAUGUGCCUGAGGGAAGCACGUGACAAGGAGGGGAGAGAGCAUUCUGGGCAAAGGGGAUGAUGACAUGAGCAGAUGCAGGGUUGUGACAAGUGGCAUGGAGUGUCGAGAGGCUAAGAGGGAGCUGAGAGCUCGGUUAGGGAGGGCGUGGCUCCUCCAGGUAAGGAGGGAGGACUGUGUUGGAGAGAGCUGGAGCCCAGGUUUGCAUUUGAAAAGCACCCCAGUGGUGCUGUCCAUGGUAGAGCCGAGAGAAGCAGGCAUGGAGAAGGGAACUGGGCUAGGAUCCUGGCCACUGCAGAGGUCUGGGUCAGUGUUAGAUGGAGGGAUUGAGCCAGAGUAAAAAUAGUAGAAUAGAGGAAGUAGGAAGGACCCAGGCAAAGCUUGCCUGGGAGCUGAGAUCAGUGACCUGGCGACGGUGUGCACAUGUAGGGGGCCUGGGAGCCUAGCUCCACUACUACCACUCUGCUUGGCUGAGAUGGAGAGCGGCACCAUCAGGGAGAGGACUUUAAGAUGCUGAUAAUGAACUUAGUUUAAAGGGUCUGAGAGAUUGCUCUUAAUUCUUUUAGGUGGUUGUUCAGUUUCUGCAAAAAAAUGGCAAAGAGCUCUCAUGUGAGAACUACCUUAAUUUAUAUGCCAAAGCUGGUGUUUGGAAGACAGUCUUUUUAAGAAUUAUAAAGGAUAUUUCUGAAACUGUGUCUCAUGAUUUUUGAACUACUCUGCUUUUUAUAGGGGUAUGUUUCUGUCAGCUUCUGUUGCUUUAAAAGCUAAGGAGAGAGUAGAGAAACAUGCUUCUUGGCAGUAACUCAGCUCCUAAAUUCUAGCCUAAGGCAGGCUCCGUAGGUCACACUCUUCCUGAAUGUUAGGGCUUCUGUCCCCUCCUUUUCCGCUGCUUAACCAGUAGUAUGUCUUGUGUGCAGGUGGUCUGGAUAAAAGGACAUGGUCAUAAGAGAAUUGUAGUGUUAAAAAAUGACAUGAAAAGUAAGUAAGCACCCAUCCCCUCCCCCCUUAAAAAAUCACGGUUCUCUCACUGACAUUUCUCUCUGACGGGUGCUCUUUGUCCUGUAGGUCGUUUGAGUUCACUCAGUCUCUCCCCUGCCAAUCAUGAAAACCAGCCCUCGGAGGGCGAGCGCAUCCUGGAGGUGCCCGAAUCGCACACAGCCUCGGAACUCAAGCUUGGAGCUGACGGCAGUGGGCCCAGUCACACAGAGCAGGAGCUUCUCCGCCUGACCGACGACUCCCCCGUCGACCUCCUGUGUGCGCCUGUCCCCUCGUGCCUGCCGUCCCCUCAGCUGAGACCAGACCCCGUUAUCCUCCAAUCUGCUGAUCUCAUUCAGUUUGAGGAGCGCCCUCAAGAGCCUUCUGAAAUUAUGAUUUUAAACCAAGAAGAAAAAAUGGAGAUUCCAAUACCAGGAAAGAGCAAAACUCUGACCUCUGACUCCAGCUCGUCCUGCAUCUCAGCAGCUGUCCCCGUGCCUCCCUGCCCCUCCUCGGAAACCUCCGAGUCACUGCUCAGCAAGGACCCCGUGGAAAGCCCGGCCAAAAAGCAACCCAAAAAUAGAGUCAAAUUGGCAGCCAACUUUUCCUUAGCACCUAUAACCAAGCUUUAACUCCCAUUUGGAAUAUAGAAUUAGGAUGGGAAAACACUGUCUGAUUCUGCACACAAAAGUGGGUUUCAAAAAUACAUCCUUUUCUGUGUCAUGAAAACCCCCCGAAGCCAUUGACUUCAUCUUACCUGUGUUCUAUCAUGUUUUUCUUUUCCAUUGAACACAGCUUUGAGCUGAAGUCUUUCUUUUCUUCUUCCUUUUUCUUUCUUUUUUCAAUUAUUUGAAGAACUUGUGGCAUUUGUUAAAGAAUCCUUAAUAUAUUUUACCAAAUUUUUAGUAACUAUUAUGAAAUACAAUGGUGUUCCAAAAGAAGAAAGCACUAAAAACUCAACUAGCAGGAAGCGGUUUUGCUUCCAUUGAGCCACGUCGGUGGUGUCAUCCUACAUGUAGCAUAAUAGAGUCUCUCAGCCUUUGCUUACUGGUGUUUCCGACAGUAUUAACCCAGUGCGUGGCAUGUCUUUGAAGCAAAGCCUGUCCCGCUAGCCUGUGUGUUCACACACCAAAGGAGAAGGGUAGGCGAGGGGUUCGGAGUGUAUUUUCAGGUUGGAAUGUGAAGGUUCCUGGCUUCCAUGUGACUUGUAAGUGUGCCUUGUUUUUUAUUUAAACUAUGUCUGUAGUUGACAAAAGUGGCUUCAUCACAAAUUUUUUUAAACGUUUCUACUUUGGGGUUCCAUUUAGGAGCUUUCUAGAAAGUUGAGGAUGUUUGAAGCUUCCCUUCUGUGUUCCAGUUUGAUAUGGGUUAGGUUAAGGAAAAGGAGAUGGUCUCGAUGUCAUGGAUUUAAAGUCAGCAUUUGGAUUACAACACACAUUAUUGUGUGUCGAGAGGCAGCAUUGGAAAGAGCCUGAUUUUCUAAAAUAUGCAUCAAGUGCAUAAAUUACAAAUCAGAGCUGAGUGGGGAGGUGCUUCAGCAGCAGCGGGAUCAAUACGAUUUCCACUGGGAAGAGACAGGAAUUCUACCUACACAUAGGAAGGCCAAGGUUGAUCCACUUAACCUUGUUAUUGUAAUUUUAAAGCUGGUAUCGGUAGCUGGGAAGCUUUAUGUGUGUGUAUGUCAGCUCAGCAUCUUUUAAUCGUGUCUGAUUUUACUCUCGUUACUUCUCGCUGUUGGAAGCAUCUCUGGGUUUCUUGUGGCGUCUGGUGUGGAAUGGCCUUCCUCUCUAGGUGCCUGAGGUGUCCGCUGACGGGUGGCCUCUCACCCCCCUCUAGAGAAACCUGACAUUUACAAUGGAUUGUAUUUGUCCGGCAAAAAAGGCGGAUUCAUUCAUAGAGCAGAAAGAACCUGUUGGCGUAAGGUCUUCCACUAGUUAGAUGGUUUCUUUUGGGGAAAUGUUUAUAUUUGGUAACUUCUAGAAAGCCAGAAAAUGGACUCUGAUUUCAUAGCAUUUUGAUAAAAUGCCACAAAAUAAGGGCUAUAGAGAGAUUUUUACAAGUCAGAUUUUUUGUUCCCCAAAUCUUUUAAAUGAAGCCAGUGACUCCCAGUUCUCAACACAUGGCCCCAGUCAAGACAGAACACCAUGGAAAAAACCCUGUAAGUAUUAUGGCACUCUCCGAAUCCUCCUGAAGGCAUUUCCUCUACAGACAUAGUGUUACAGGAAGUGAAAUGCAAAUGUGCAAUUUUUUUUAAAGGAGCUUUUAAACAAAGUAAUAAUAAUUGGUGUUGAGAACAUCAGUUGCCUUAUUCUAAGAUUUCAUAAGGCUGAGUUUGCACGCUUGGACUUCAGUUCUGCUAGCAUGUAAAGAGUGGUGGACUUUAAAACCGUAAGAGGUAUCAUUACAAGUCACCUGGAACAGACUCAAAGAACAGGUUCUUUGGGCAACAGACAAAGAAGAAUCAAGUUCUGUGCUGUCCCGUGAGUGUGUCUGAGUACCAUUCACUGGAGUUGCUGCUUAGGUCUGGGACGUGUGUGUGACUCUUAACAAUUGCUGUCUGAAAAUGAGAGAGAAGACUUCGGAAGCACAUUGUGUUCAUAAUGUACUCCACAAUGGCCAGUCCAAUUGCUAUCUAUUUUUUUAUCCAGAGGCUUAAUUAAAUGAUGUGGUAAAAUGAUGUUUGAGCAUUAAGACAAUGUAAUUCUUUAUUUCUGGGUGGAAAGAUAUACCGGAUUAAAUUUAUCUGUUUAAAAAAAUGACAAAAGUUAUCACCAAAACCCCCUUUCCCAUCUUGCACUGUUUGUUUUGGAUUGGGUUUGGGGGAAAGAGAUGUUUUUCUUAGUUGUCUACUUUGUUUGAACACUUUUGUUGUGGUUCAAGUGCUGUUUUGUGUGUUGGGACCAAACAGUUGUCAAUAAACUUUACAAGCGAGCAUCU
rnacentral:lncRNA from 1 species